rnacentral:rRNA from 1 species
GACGAACGCUGGCGGCGUGCCUAAUACAUGCAAGUUGAGCGCUGAAGGUUGGUACUUGUACCAACUGGAUGAGCAGCGAACGGGUGAGUAACGCGUGGGGAAUCUGCCUUUGAGCGGGGGACAACAUUUGGAAACGAAUGCUAAUACCGCAUAAAAACUUUAAACACAAGUUUUAAGUUUGAAAGAUGCAAUUGCAUCACUCAAAGAUGAUCCCGCGUUGUAUUAGCUAGUUGGUGAGGUAAAGGCUCACCAAGGCGACGAUACAUAGCCGACCUGAGAGGGUGAUCGGCCACAUUGGGACUGAGACACGGCCCAAACUCCUACGGGAGGCAGCAGUAGGGAAUCUUCGGCAAUGGACGAAAGUCUGACCGAGCAACGCCGCGUGAGUGAAGGAGGUUUUCGGAUCGUAAAACUCUGUUGGUAGAGAAGAACGUUGGUGAGAGUGGAAAGCUCAUCAAGUGACGGUAACUACCCAGAAAGGGACGGCUAACUACGUG